CCUACGGGUGGCUGCAGUGAGGAAUAUUGCGCAAUGGGGGCAACCCUGACGCAGCGACGCCGCGUGAGUGAGGAAGGCCUUCGGGUCGUAAAGCUCUGUCAAAGGGAAAGAAGUGCAUGGUGGUUAAUACCUGCCAUGUUUGACGGUACCCUUAAAGGAAGCACCGGCUAACUCCGUGCCAGCAGCCGCGGUAAUACGGAGGGUGCAAGCGUUGGUCGGGAUUACUGGGCGGAUUGUGUAAGUCGGCGGUGAAAGCCCACGGCUUAACUGUGGAAGUGCAUUUGAAACUGUGAGACUUGAGUACCAGAGGGGAAAGUGGAAUUCCCGGUGUAGAGGUGAAAUUCGUAGAUAUCGGGAGGAAUACCGGUGGCGAAGGCGACUUUCUGGCUGGAUACUGACGCUGAGGCGCGAAAGCGUGGGGAGCAAACAGGAUUAGAUACCCCAGUAGUC
rnacentral:rRNA from 1 species